rnacentral:tRNA from 1 species
GGGGAUGUAGCUCAAUAGAGUGUUAAUCUAUGCAUGAUAAAGGUACAUGGUUCAACUCCUUGCAUCUCCA